UAACCACGGAGAUGGCCCCAUAAAAUUUUAUGACAACAAUUUCUUAAGUGAAAUUUCCAUUCAGUCUGUUUGUGGGACCUUCAAAAAAGCCAGAGAAAGCCAAAUAGAUAUAACUCGGGACAUUUUUCUGAGGUCUAAUUUAAUUAUAAAUCAUUUCUUUAUGAGCCUACCAUUCAGCACUCCUACAAUUCCAUUGCAGCACAAAAUAAUUUACAGUCCCUGCAAGAGAAUGAGCUCAAGCCUAGAACCAAAGGGCACCCGGAACAUUAUUCCUUUGAGACACUUUCCAGGUCAUGUUCUGAAAGUGUGACACGUGACCUUGAGGGUUGGCAAACUCAGCCCCCCAACCCCCGCCCAUCAGGCCAUCCUCGGCAGGCUCAGAACGGAGCGGUGCCAAGGGGCCUGGAGAGUUUCGCUGGAGAGGAGAAGCAAGACCCACAAACAGUGGUUCCUCUCCACCCAGAGAAGUUCUGCUAGCUGUCUUUCCCAGCGUUCACCCCAAGGCGGUUAGCAAACGGCUGGGCUGAAGCAUCACACGGCCUAAUUUAAGACAGAGGGUUCAGAGAUGGAGUCUAAAUUAUUGGGUGUGAAAUGCAAAUAGAUUUAGCAGCUUUACCACGAGUUAUGUGGCCUUCAGCUAGGCCUGUUGAAGCGGGGUUUUCUUCUCCUUCCUCUGAACAUCUGGACCCGUGUUAAAGACUCUGGGAUCUGUGAAAGCCGGCCUCAUGUUCAUGACAGCUCACGGCUCUCGUGAAGGCGAGCCAGGAUCACGUUCACUCUGGGAGGCAGGGAUGGAACUUGUCAGGAAGACUUGUUCAAAGGUAAGAAGGCAAGGCGGGGAUUCUGAGAGUGGGAAGCUCCCAAGUCUGGCAUCAACUGCAUGACUUAACAAGAGCAAGACGCCUAAGCUCUCUGAGCUCAGUUUUCUCUUUAAAAAAUGGCAACAACAGAAGGUCAUAGCGAUGAUUUUUACGAUUCUCAUCUACAGCACGGGCGCCGUUGCAACUCAGGUGACCAAAAGGAGAAAGUACCUUCGAGGUGGCAAAAGGCUUCUUACACCCAGGAAAACUGCCAAUAUGUAUAUGGUUCUGUGCUACAGAUUUUAUAAAUAAUUAACUCAUAUAAUCUCAGUCUAUCUAUGAGAUGGUCCUAUCAUUAUUCCCAUUUUACAGAUGGGGAAACUGAGGCCUAGAGAGGUUUCUUCCCCCAAGGUUGUCAUGGACAUUUUGUGUUUUUUCCCUGGAAAAAUAAAUUUUCCAACCAGUAUUUUUUUUCUGCUGUCAUGGAGCCAUUUUAAAAUAUGCCAUGGUUGUGACACAUUUCUGGGUUCAGAAUUGAAAGAGGAUGCUACAGGUGACGGCUGGCCCUGAAUGCCUACUCCACAUCAACCCUGGGAAAGUGGCCUGCCCUUCAGGGUGACUUGGUGUCCCUUCAGUGCUCCCUCUGGGCUCUAAGCCGCCCUUACCGCCACCGGAAGUUCAAGAGCUCAGUGGUGAUAAAAGCACACUGGCUAUUGGCUGGGACCCUCACAUGGAGCGCUUGCCGAUUCUCCCAUGGAAAGGUGGGAGCACGUGAUUUACACGUGAAGUUGUGAAUUACAGUGGACAUUAUGAAUCUGAAAGCACAGAGUGCCCUCUGCAUGGAAGGUCCAGAAAAUGCAAAUGUGCGAAAGACAGAACCACGCAGUUCCAGAUUGAUGAGGCGGCCAGGCUGAGCGUGCUGGGCAGUCAGUAACCCCAUUAUCGUGGGCCUGGGCUGUACUCCAAACAAACAGAAAAAUGCAUUAAACCCUAUGGGGUCCCGUACACAGGUAUGCACCCUCGUCACCCUCAUCUAACACCAUUUUUGACCACGUGGGUGCAGGUCUCACUUUCCUAGAGAGAGGACGCAUUGCAGGUGUAGCCGUCCCCUCACCUGCGUGCCUAUGCCUUCUCCCCUCUCUCUCCCUGGAGCAACCACACACCUGAAACUGACGUGUAUCUCCUGUAUGCACUUCCUGGAGCUGCUGCAAUAAAAUCCCACAAACUGGGGGACCCAAACAACCAAGAUGCAGUGUCUUCCUCUUCUGGAAGCUGAAAGUCCUAGGUCAAGGUGUCAACAGAGCUGGGCCCUUCUGCAGGCUGUGAGGGAGGGUCUCUCUAGAAGAUUCUGGGAGCCUCAGGUGGUCUUGGUUUGCAGGUGGCAUUCUCCCUGUCUUCACGUCAGCCUCCCUCUGUGCACGUCUGUCUCUCUGUCAGCUCAAUUUCCCUUUUCAAUAAGGACUUCAGUCAUUUCGGAUUAGGGUCCAUCCUGAUGGCCUCAUCUUGAUUUGAUUACAUCUGCAAAGACCCAUUUCCGAAGACGAGUCCUAUUUACAGGUGUAAGGUGGGAGUCAAGACUUCAGCCUCUUUGCGGGGAAACAAUUGGACCCUUCACACAUCUCAUGCAUGUUUUUGCACUUGAUAUGACCACCUUUAGGCUUGUUGGUGAUGCUUUUAUUCACACUGAGACUUCCAGCGUUUACAAUCAAAAGAGCCCCUUGGUUCUAGUCAGGAAGCCUCAUGAAGCCUAUGUGAUGAAACAUACAUGAUUAUGUCUGAAAACCUAUAACUGGAGAGAUUUGAGCUCAAAACCCAAUUGAACUGGCCCAGUAAGGUUCACCCUCCACCAUGAAGGCUCAGCCAUGAAGGUUAAUGCACCCCACAGCCCGCCCCCAGAAGGAAGACACAAAUCCUGAGAUGCCCUUCCCCACGGAAGAGGAAGUGGGAAAUCCACCCUUCCCUGCUUCAGCAGCUGGGAAAGGGUGUGCUGUGGAGGGUAACUGCCUCUCUACAGCAGAAACAGACUCUGACAUCUCAGGGGCUUAUCACAACAAAGGUUUGCUCCUUGUUCUUUUAAAGUCUGAGGUGGCAUAGGCAUCCUGCCUCUAACUUGGAGCUCUGCCAUCCUUAAUCCUGUGGCUUCUGGUGGCUUGUCAGGGCCUGAGAGGAGAGGGAUGUGGAGAUACACCUGCUCGCAGCUUAUCAACCCCGAGGUGCGAAUGGCCCCACAGAGUCACGUGGUCCAAAAGAAUUGCGAGAGAGAGCGAGUGGGUUGGAAUAUUUGAUUUCCAAUAGGGAAGAGAGACCCCUGAGUGUGCUCCUGUUUUCCCUUUCUGACAAUGGAAUUCAAAAAAAAAGGAAAUGAUAGAAAUCCCUAGAUAGGUGUGGGCAAACCCAAGGAUGUCAGAGUCCCUGGCCACAGCCUGGAGAUGCUGCUAUGAAAGUCACCGGGCUAUGUUCUGCCCGGUAGGGCAGCCUUGCCCGAGGGAGGUGGCUGGAGAGAUAAGCCCACUGCUGUACUCCCACUGCCGCGCUGCUUGGAGAAACCAGAAGGUUCUGUGGUUCCCUGUUCUCCACUGAGGGGACACGGAGAUGGUGGACAGGCUGGUGGACCAGCUGACAUGGGGAAGCAAGAUAAAAAGACUGCAGUGUACAGGGUGUUUGCAACCAGAAGCCAGAGGUCCCCACCAUCAAUUCUAAAGGCAGCUGCAGGUACAAUAUCCAUCGUCCCUCGUCCCAAAGGAGGGCUGCACUGCCUGCGCCCCAGCCCCCAGCCUCAGCUCCACACAGCUCUCCUGGCAUUCAGAGAGAUUACUCGGGGAAAAGAAGGAGAAAAUCAUAGGAAAGACCAAGGAUUUUCCCAGGAGAGACUGAGUCAUCCAAAAGGCUCCUUAGGCUGGAAACCACCACAAUACCACACACAUAUGCAAAUCAAAAGUUAAAUGUUUCUUCUUCUUCCAGGCAUGGUGAGGGGAUUCCAAGAAAAAACAGAUACAGUGUAGGGAACAGAAACGUUAAAAUGUCUGUGCACAGCUAAGUAUAGUGUAAAUAAAUUUGCAAACUUGCCACACGUACUAACUGAAUUACUUUCCAUGGAAAAUUUAUAUGUAGUCCUAUGCACUCAGAGAGAAAACCCAGCUUCCUUGUAUUCUUUAACUAGAAGGCAAAACAGCUGCCCUGUUUUCCUGGCUUCCUCUGUGACGGCUGUGUAACUUCAUUUGUUUAAUGUGCAGGGCUUCGCUGGGGAGUACAAGAGCUGUUAAGUAUGUGACCCGUGGCGGGCCUGGGAUCUGAGAG
rnacentral:lncRNA from 1 species